AUUGAACGCUGGCGGCAUGCCUUACACAUGCAAGUCGAACGGCAGCAUGGAGAGCUUGCUCUCUGAUGGCGAGUGGCGAACGGGUGAGUAAUGCAUCGGAACGUACCGUGUAAUGGGGGAUAACGUAGCGAAAGUUACGCUAAUACCGCAUACGACCUGAGGGUGAAAGCAGGGGAUCGCAAGACCUUGCGUUAUACGAGCGGACGAUGUCAGAUUAGCUAGUUGGUGAGGUAAAGGCUCACCAAGGCGACGAUCCGGAGCGGGUCUGAGAGGCUGAGCCGCCACACUGGGACUGAGACACGGCCCAGACUCCCACGUGAGGCAGCGGUGGGGAAUUUUGGACAAUGGGGGCAACCCUGAUCCAGCCAUGCCGCGUGAGUGAAGAAGGCCUUCGGGUUGUAAAGCUCUUUCGGCCGGGAAGAAAUCGCACAGGCUAAUACUCUGUGUGGAUUACGGUACCGGCAUAAGAAGCACCGGCUAACUACGUGCCAGCAGCCGCAGUAA
rnacentral:rRNA from 1 species